rnacentral:rRNA from 1 species
GAGUUUGAUCCUGGCUCAGGACGAACGCUGGCGGCGUGCCUAACACAUGCAAGUCGAACGGAACUUUUUUAAAGGAUUUCUUCGGAAUGAAUUUGAUUAAGUUUAGUGGCGGACGGGUGAGUAACGCGUGAGUAACCUGCCUCUAAGAGGGAAAUAACAUUCUGAAAAGAAUGCUAAUACCGCAUAAUAUAUAUUUAUCGCAUGGUAGAUAUAUCAAAGAUUUAUCGCUUAGAGAUGGACUCGCGUCCGAUUAGUUAGUUGGUGAGGUAACGGCUCACCAAGACCGCGAUCGGUAGCCGGACUGAGAGGUUGAACGGCCACAUUGGGACUGAGACACGGCCCAGACUCCUACGGGAGGCAGCAGUGGGGGAUAUUGCGCAAUGGGGGAAACCCUGACGCAGCAACGCCGCGUGAAGGAUGAAGGUCUUCGGAUUGUAAACUUCUUUUAUUAAGGACGAAGAAAGUGACGGUACUUAAUGAAUAAGCUCCGGCUAACUACGUGCCAGCCGCCGCGGUAAUUC